AGAGGGGCAGGGCUCCGGGGAGAAGUAAAUGGCAGUGCGAGGAGGAGAGCAGGGGGAGGGACGACGGGCUGCACCUUCCAAUUAAUUGAAAUCAAUUGGUUCUAAAUGUGAUUGAUAAGCAGCAUUAAUUUCCCGACGCAAAUAACCAAUUUAUCUCACGUUCAGGGACCGAAAAUGACGUGUGGCACAGUGAUUAAGAUGAAAACCAAACAGAUGUUUAAUGUUCGGAGGCAGAAUAAUGUUGGGAUCAGUUAUUGGCGCUCUGGGGGCGAUGGAUUGACGCGGACUGAUGUCAGCCAUCAGGUGGUGGACUCACCUCUCCAUCAGUUUAAGGCUGACGUGAUCUAAAACAAUCAUUUUAGGAGCUGCGGACAGGAGUCAUCAAGCGGAGCAGGUGGAGCAGGCCUGAGUGUGUUCGGUUAAAUCGCCGUUCACAAUGAUGUGUUAGAACAUGGGUUUGUAGGCUCCUCAUGCUGGAAGGCAUCUUCUCCAGACUGUGUCUUUGGCGCCCCCUUCAGGUGAGAUUAGGGAGGGCAUGUCAUGUUUUUUGUUUUUUUUUAAUCUGCCUCAGCGUCUCUUGCUCACUCUCUCUCUCUCUCUCUUUUUUUCCUCUCUUCCUCCCUCGUCUGUCACAAAUCCUCCAGACACUUAGGUCAGUUUGGCUCAAACAGUCAGGAAAAGUUCAAACAGAGAGUAAAACAUCAAACCAGUCUAUUAGCAUUAAUAUUAAUAUUUCUUCUCUUGGCCCCCAUAAAGAUUCUUUGAACUCGCGCCUCAUAUCUGACCUUGCCCCGUAGAUCAGUGAGAAAAUCUUAAAGUCCCAGCUCCAGGCUCCCCCCCCGGCGCCCUGCUCACCCGCACUCUGUCUCGACACGAGUUUCGUCAGCGUUGUCUUGGCGAGGAUGAUAUCUGCCUCCCUUGUUUCUCCCCGUCCGAGCCCAUUUUUUCCCCCUUCCUGCGAGUGUUUGUCCCUCCCCACCACCACCACCACCACCGGCUGGCAGAGAAGUCAGUGGUGGUUGCAGCAGCUCUCCGGCACCAGAUGGGGUAUUGUCAGGAAGUAAUGAGGGGAAAACACCUGCUUCUCCAGCGAGCGCCACUCCUUCAUUUUCAGCCAUUUGACACAACAUAUGCAGGAAGCACAUACAAAGGCAAGUGACCGUGACGAGAACAGCGGCGGCCGGGUGGCACGCGGUUGCAAAAUGCCUGGCACCUCGAUGCGUUAGUCAAUGAGGUGUCAUGUUUGGUAUAACUCACCUUUUACAUGAGGGCUGGUGCAGCUGAGGGGCUGCCAGGACAGCUGCCAGCCGGACAAAACUGGUAGAUCUGGUGAGGAGUCGCAGACUUAAAGGUCACAGAGCUGCACCUUUUGUCCCGUCAGGCCCCGAGACAAGAACUCUUCCCUUCUCCGCAUUCUCCGCACGGCCUCUGCGUUUUUUUUCCCUGAGCUGUUGUCCACCGGUUUAUCCACGAGACACUAUCAAGGUCAAGAUGUCACUGUAAACUAGGCUUCGCUCUCUCUUCCCGAACCGCAGCCUUGUACCUUGGGGACAGCUCCACCGUGUGAAAUCCCUGAUACAUAAUCUUGUCUUUUUCGAGCCAAACCAGUUGAAGCCCCAGGACCGCAGCCCACUUGGGAGCACGCGGCUUUUCACUCAUGGCUGACUCAAAGGCCAAAAAAACAACAACAAAGAAUUGUGCUCGCUGGCAUUUCACAUGCAGGGAAGAGGGGGAGCCCUGCAUUUAAAAUUUACAAUAUUGUAUUCUUUCCUCCAGAGCGUGACCGAUUCAUAAAAAAAACUCCCCUAUUUCUGUUACUGCCUUGAUAUAUAUGUUGUCUCUUUACUCCUGGCCUUGACCUAAGACGUAAACCAAGAAGAAGUUUGUGGAGUUGGAAAAAGAAAUACGAGGAGUCUGUAAAAAUGCUCACAGGGCGGCUA